UCCCAGACUCCUACGGGAGGCAGCAGUGGGGAAUAUUGCACAAUGGGGGAAACCCUGAUGCAGCGACGCCGCGUGAGUGAAGAAGUAUUUCGGUAUGUAAAGCUCUCUCAGCAGGGAAGAAAUAGCGACCUUUGGGUCGCCAGACGGUACCUGACUAAGAAGCCCCGGCUAACUACGUGCCAGCAGCCGCGGUAAUACGUAGGGGGCAAGCGUUAUCCGGAUUUACUGGGUGUAAAGGGAGCGUAGACGGCGAGGUAAGCCUGAAGUGGAAGCCCGCGGCCCAACCGCGGAACUGCUUUGGGAACUGUUUUGCUGGAGUAUGGGAGGGGUAAGCGGAAUUCCUGGUGCAGCGGUGAAAUGCGUAGAUAUCAGGAGGAACAUCGGUGGCGAAGGCGGCUUACUGGACCGUAACUGACGUUGAGGCUCGAAAGCGUGGGGAGCGAACAGGAUUAGAUACCCCAGUA
rnacentral:rRNA from 1 species